rnacentral:lncRNA from 1 species
ACUAGAGAAGAUGGGAAAGCUCAUUGUCUAUGUCGUUGAUGUAGGAAUUUAUUUUGGUAUACUCUAUCGGAUAUUCAAAAUCAUUUAUACAAACAUGGUAUAGAGGUGACUUAUAAGAGAUGGACUUAUCAUGGUGAAGAUUUACCGACUGGCUCGAGCAUGUUGCCUAAAAGUCCCACAAAUGUGUCGUCAGUAGGUGGAUCACCUAGUCAUGAAAGGCAAACACUCGGUGCAGAAGAUAGAGAAAUUCUGAAGGAUCUCUAUCC